rnacentral:ncRNA from 1 species
UCUUAUCAAGAGAGGUGGAGGGAAAGGGCCCUGUGAAACCCGGCAACCUAUUUAGGAGUGAAGAAUGGAGAAUUAAAAAUGAAAAAUUAUAGUAAUUUUACAUUUUAAAUUUUGUACUUUACAUUUUUAGGUGUGGUGCCAAUUCCUGCAAGAAAUUUUGCAAGAUAAGA